CAGGAUACAAAAAUAUAACAUUUUGAUUUUAAGCCGCCAUCUUGGAUUUUUAGCGUUUCAACGUGAAAACGCUUGUCCGAAAACGUUUUUAGCAUUGAAAACGUUUUCGUCAUAAGAUGACGUUUUCAUCCGUUUUCGUGUGGACACGGCUUGAAAACGACACUUUUUGAAAACGUUACAGCUGAAAACGCUCGAAAACGUUACCGUGUGCACAUAGUCUGUAAAAUUAUGCUAAAAUGAAGAGAUAUGUAGUUUUUUACCUGUUUCAUCCAAGAGCAAUCAUCAUGCUGCAGGUGGCUGACAAAUUUCGAAAAAUGAGCUGCUUUAUAA